UCAUUUAGCGACAUAUCUUUCCUGGGAAUUUUGUAUGUAGUUUCUGUCUGCAGCUCUGGCGACCAUGGCUGGAAUCUGGCACAAACACCGGCGCGCCAGGGUGGGAAUGUUCUCUUCCGGUGUCCUUUCCCUUUCCAUGUUAAUCACUCGGCGGUAACUGCUUACUGGUGGAGAGACGGGAACAAGAGCUUCCUGCAAGCAAACGGCAGGAAAAGGUUCACUGUGAGGAGAGGCGGCGCGUACCUUCAUGUUCUGAAUGUGACUGUUGCGGAUGCCGGUGUGUAUCACUGUGCCGUCAAAUAUCAGCAUCGAACAGUUGGGAAAGGAACCGAGAUGCAAAUCCUCGUGUCUGAUUGUCUCCACAUCAUUCCACAAGGCUUCAUCUACCUUUAUGAGACUCCACUGUCAAACGGCUGAGUUUCAUCCGAAGGAAUUCAACCUUACCUGGCAUAAAAAUGGCACCAGAAUUCUGACAGGAAUUUCAACUUACAACAGGAAACAACAGACAGACUGUGUGAAGUGAUCAGUUCCUUAGAAGAGACACGGCCAAUUGAGCAAGGUGAUUCAGUGCUGAUGAGGGCAAGGCACCAAGGAUAUAGAGCUAAAAAUGUGUUGCUGGGAAAGCGCAGCAGGUCAGGCAGCAUCCAAGG